AUGAAUUGCAUAACGUGGAACUAUCGCGGGCUUGGGAACCCAGAGACAGUUCGUGAACUUCACGACUUAGUGAAGAGAGAAGUUCCCGCCCUAGUUUUUGUAUCGGAGAUGAAGAUUGAGGGAAGAAGGGUUAGUGAUCUCACUGACCGACUUGGUUUUGAGGGUUGCUAUCCUGUUAAUAGUGACAGCCUCAGUGGUGGACUAGCUUUGUUUUGGUCAAAAGACUUUGAUGUAACUCUUAAUAAUUUCUUAAAUCACCACAUUGAUGUGUCGGUUAAGAAUGUAGGAGGUGACAAUAAAAAGUGGCGGUUUACGGGUUUCUAUGCGAAAGCUAGACGAAGUGAACGUGUAGAAAGUUGGAAUUUGCUGAGAGGGUUGAAGGCUCAAAGUGAUGCCCUGUGGCUAUGCGGGGGUGAUUUUAAUGAAAUUCUAGAUAAUUCAGAGUACUUUGGAGCUCAUGAUCGCCCUGAGUGGCAGAUGGGGGGUCUUCGACAAUGUGUGGAUGAUUGUGACCUACAAGAUUUGGGUUUCCAUGGUGUACCUUUUACGUGGGAUAAUAUGCAGCACGGUGAGUCAAAUGUGAAGGUUCGGCUUGAUAGGUUCUUAGUGAACCCGGUGAUGAUGUCAUUGUACCCAGCUUCCUUCGUGAGACACUGCCCAACGCCAAAGUCUGAUCAUUGCAUGCUCGUGGUGAAGAUGAAGGGAAUGACAUUGGCAGAGGAAGGGUAUCAGCGCAGGUUUAUGUAUGAAGAGGCGUGGUAA
rnacentral:rRNA from 1 species